rnacentral:pre_miRNA from 1 species
UGUUGUUGUUGUUGUUGAUGAUGAUGAUGAUGAUGAUGAUGGUGAUGAUGAUGAUGAUGUUGGUCAUCAUCAUCAUAAUCAUCAUCAACAAGAACA